CUAUAUCGCUGAACCAAACGGAGGCAUACGGGAGCCUCUGCCAGUUCCGCCAGUACAAUCACAACGCGUGUACCUCCUGCGCCUCGAGAGAGAGAAAAGUCACCGCUUGAGGCAUGGCGCGUGGCAAAAACCGCCAUGCUUUGGACGAGGUCGCGUUCUUCGUACGCGAGAGGCAGCUCCAGCAUCCUUGCCCAGCGAAUUUUUUCCUCAUCGCACACUCACCGCCACCGCCUGGCCUACCUCUCCCCUUUCCUUGCUAUCAUGUCUUCUCUGUCCCCAUCCUGGAGGCACGGCAAUGGAGGUCGUCUUCUCCCACGGCCAUCUUCCGCCGCAAUCUGCUGGCCGGGUCUGACGGCGACACAACAUCGGCGGGCUGCACGCCGAAGGUGCCGAGGGGGACACCGGCGCCGAGCUCUCAUCCAUGAUACCGCGGGUGUUGUUGCUCUUGCGCAUCAGCUCUCUACACUGCAGGACUGUGGAGGAGAGCUGACGCCGACGCUCGGUUCCUCCUCGACGUCGUACGUCGCCGGUUAAGAUGGAGAUGAAAUCGACGGCGGUCUUCACCUAGCUCAUCCACCGCUGUAACCGCACCUCCAGGUAAUUUGGGAACUUCUGCUGCUAUAGAUGACAGUAGGAAUGUAGGAUCCACCGAAUGGAUUAGAAGCGAGAAGAUUGAUAAGGCAUUCUGAGAUGGUAAUAAGAAUAUCUAAUGCUUAAAUAGAUGUACUGCUCCUGACUUAGAUUGUUCCAUUUACAAACCACAGUAAAAUGGUACACAAUCAUAUAAUAUUCAUGGCACCACUUUUUCCCAUUCAGAUUUGAGUUACAGGCUACUGUAUUUUUGCCUUAGGUUCCAGUUUCAUGUUAAUCUUACCAAGCAACUCCUGUUCAAAAAGAUAAGUUGGAAACAAUAUAGCCUUUCUGAAAAAUUCUCCAUGCAAACUCCUUGCAAGGAUUUUGUCAUUAAUUUCGUCAAUUUUUUGUGAUAUAGCAUUACUCAUAUCUUAAAUUCGUAGUUGCUAAAAAUAUUGAUUGUUCUCUUGCAUCAUCAUACUUUAAGGUCCAUCUUACAAUAAUAUAGCAAAAAUAAACUUAAAAAGACAUAUCCACGCACCUCUACAGGUAUGGUCCACACCCCCAAAGCAUAAAUGUCAAAGUAUGCACAUAAUGUAUUAACAUAUACUUUUGUGGUUGCAAGAUGUCUCUGUGGCUUCACUUUUGAGUUCUGCAUUGUAAGCUCUGCUUCUGUCAGAGUGCUCUGUGAGUCACUCGGCAUAUCUAAUUGGAUGGUGUUUUGCUAUGGAUUAUAUUUUCCAAAUGUUAGAAGGAUAGGCACAAUUAAUCUAAAAGUUUACCUUUAAAAUUUAUGACGAUUUACUUUCUCUGUAGUAGUGUUGAGCAAACAAGCAUUCAGCUUUAGGAUGCAAAUUGUAGUAAGCUGGAUGUUACUUUCUUCAUGGUGUUCCUCAUUCAGCUUUAGCGUAAACAGGCUAAAAUUUCUGUGUAUUUGGUUACCCUUAUGGCUGCUGUACCAAAUGCACAGUCGAUAGAUAAUUGGUUUAUGUUUGGCAGUGCAAGUUGUAUUCAUUUGUAAUUGGUGCCUCCAUCUAUUGCACACUUUGAUUAGAGAAAACAUAGUUCUCAUGAUUUGUGAGGUGCCUCCCUUUUUAAGUGAACCAAGUUAGUAAACCUGAACAUUAUGUCUUACUAAUUUCAUCUUUCCAGUAAAAUACUAAAUGUUUCUAUAUGUACUUGAGUACCAUGUUGUAUAACUAUAACAUUAUGUCUGUUGCAGCAGAGAAAUAGGUGAUGAAAAAGGACAUUUCAACUUUUUUUGAGACCGAAGAUAGUUGCAUGAUGGCCUGUGUUCUCUAAACAAAGCAGCUAUCACGGCUAAAUUGGAAUUUGGGCACGAGAGCAGCUAGCGACGUAAAUUAUUUGUUAUUUAACCAUCUAAAUGCAAAUGUCAUGUGUUACGCCGCAACAUUAAGCCUUUUCAUAUAGGCAAGUCGGUGGACGGUGGAUUUCAUCCAUUCACUGCAACCACAAUGGAACAACACUACUACUGAAAGAGAACUGGCAAGAACAGCAGACGCAGGCGCGGCGAAGCGCGCCAUUCUUCCUAGUUGUACAACUUGGCAGCAGAUGAAGACCCGGCCAGCGCGCCUGCAUCUCACAUGGACACGGUCACACCUAAACACCUCAUGCCCAUGCAUCCACAUCUCUGACGACAGAUAAAACGCUGCUGCAAUUUUCCACCACGACCAGUUCUUCCAAUCGCUUCACCCAGCAGGCCAGCAGCCCAUUGCCGACUUCAACCACCGUCUACUUGCUUGGCCAUGCAAAAAAAAAAACCCACACUUCUAGUGGAUUCUCUCAUCGUCGCCUCCAUCGGACGGUGCUUCGCCGGCCUGUGUAGGCAGCCAUGGCAUCGUCUCGCGGACGCUGUCUCGUAGCCCUGCUCCUCGUCUCUGCUUCCCUCUGCGCCCAUGGAGCAGCUGCGGCGUCGGACUCGGACACGACCGUGCUGGCGGCGGAGCGGACGCGGCGGAAGGACCCCCUAGACGGGCUCAGGUACUACACCGGCGGCUGGAACAUCAGCAACAGGCACUACCUC